CCUACGGGGGGCAGCAGUGGGGAAUAUUGGACAAUGGGCGAAAGCCUGAUCCAGCCAUGCCGCGUGUGUGAAGAAGGCCUUCGGGUUGUAAAGCACUUUCAGUGGGGAAGAAAGCCUUGGGGCUAAUACCCUCGAGGAAGGACAUCACCCACAGAAGAAGCACCGGCUAACUCCGUGCCAGCAGCCGCGGUAAUACGGAGGGUGCGAGCGUUAAUCGGAAUUACUGGGCGUAAAGCGCGCGUAGGCGGUCUGAUAAGCCGGUUGUGAAAGCCCCGGGCUCAACCUGGGAACGGCAUCCGGAACUGUCAGGCUAGAGUGCAGGAGAGGAAGGUAGAAUUCCCGGUGUAGCGGUGAAAUGCGUAGAGAUCGGGAGGAAUACCAGUGGCGAAGGCGACCUUCUGGACUGACACUGACGCUGAGGUGCGAAAGCGUGGGUAGCAAACAGGAUUAGAUACCCCUGUAGU
rnacentral:rRNA from 1 species